rnacentral:misc_RNA from 1 species
AAACGGCAAUGGGUAUCUCUUUACAGGUGAAUGACGAACAAAAGCUUAAAUAUCGCAACGCCGUUUAUGCUAUACUCAAUAUCAUUCCAAAAAGAGCUUCAAGACCUUGGUAUUUAUUAGACAAUAUAUUUGCAUUUUCAUCACAAGGACGAUUGCAAGAAGAACUAUUACAAACGUUGCAUGGUUUUACAAAAAAAAUAAUUGCAGAGAGAAAACUUUUUCACGAAAAAACAAAUGGAAAAUAUUUAAAAACUUUCGAAACGGUUGAAGAGAAUGACGUUUUUCCCGAAGGACACGAGGAGAAUAUCAAAAAUCCGACAUACAAAAAAAAACUUGCUAUGUUAGAUUUACUAAUAGCAGCUUCUUGGAAUGGAAAUCAAAUUGAUGAUGAAGGAAUCAGAGAGGAAGUGGAUACAUUUAUGUUUGCAGGUCACGACACUACUGCAACGGCAUUGGUCUUUCUUCUGAGUCUUAUAGCUAAACAUAAAGACGUUCAGGAACGUAUAAGAGAAGAAGUGAAUAGUAUUAUGAACCAAGAAAAUUAUCAAAUGACGAUGUCGGUGGUUCAAGAAUUUUCCUAUUUAGAGAGAUGCAUAAAAGAAUCUCUACGUUUAUACCCAAGUGUCCAUUUUGUGGCACGAUAUUUAACUGAUGAUAUGCAGUUAAAAAAGUUUUUAAUCCCAGCCGGUACUAACAUUCGAAUUAACAUCUUUCAUUUACACCGAAAUCCAGAAUUUUGGCCCAAUCCUGAUGUUUUCGAUCCUGAUAGAUUUUUACCAGAAAAUAUUAGUAAACGCAAUGCGUACUGUUAUAUUCCAUUUAGUGCAGGAUUAAGAAACUGCAUUGGUCAAAAAUAUGCAAUGUUCGAAAUGAAACUUAUGGUUGCCCAUAUAUUACAUCACUUUUAUUUAGAGCCAGUAGAGGAUUUGGAUAACAUUAAAUUGAUAGGAGAUAUUAUUUUGCGACCAGCGAAACCACUUCAUGUCAAAUUUAUUCCGAUAAAAUUAUAAGAACUAAAUUUUUUUUUAUUGAAUAUUUCAUCAAAUGAAUUUUAGUAUACAGCUUUCAGGUACUAUCAUACCACCACACCAACGCGCAUGCGCAGUGAUUGAAACUGAGAAGACUCGACAUCGAAUAAUAAGCCCUUACUCUAAUCGUUCUCGUAAUCGCUAUUAUUAUGUUUUUGUAACUUGGUUAUCUCAGUUCUUUUCAACAAAUUUCAUACUGUUUCUUUAAUCUAUCCACUGCUCAUUUAGUGCAUUACCACUUACAUUCUGAACUCGUGGAUGUGCCGAAAUCGCGUGCAUUAAAAUUCUCACUUUCAUUCCAUUUCACUUGAGUUACAUCGCGAUAAUUAGAAUCAAUCGCGUUUAGUGUCAUAAUUUUUUUGCAAAUUCGUUUAGAUUACUUAUUGAUAUACUUUUAUGUUCUCUCAUUGUAAUUUACCAAUAAAGAUCUCACUUUUCGUGCUCAUUCACUCUUCUUAAAUGUUGAAUUUUGACUUAUCCUUGAUGUUUAUGCAUAGCAUCGGCAUAAGCGAACACUUAGUCCAUUCCUAAAGAAAUACUCUGUCUUAAGUCCACUGGUCCAAUACUUCAGUAAUGUCUAUUUAUGUAUUUGGGCAUGGAGGCGUCUGUUCCAAAUUUAUAUUAUAUUUACGUAUUUAUAUUUCGAGAUUGUUAUAUACCUUGAUGUCUACGGGUCGAAAUUCAAUACAAAUAAUAUUUUACUUUUGUAAUUUUCACAUUUAUUGUUCUUUAACAUAUAGUUGGUUAAAACACAUUGUGCUCCACGAGUAGUAUUGUUGAUCUUGCAUGUCAAUUUAAAUCAGUCAAUGUAUUAUUACUUACCUAAGCAUAUAUGAAUAUUGUACGUAAUAUCACAUUAUUCUUUUUGAAGUGAAAACUUUUUUAGAAUGGGUGUGAUUCGAAAAAAUGUAACGAAGCUGUAAGCGGCUUCGUAACGGAACGGUAGGAGGCUAUGAAACGGAAACAAUACUAAAUAAGAGGAAAAGAAGAGACAAACAUAUAGGAUUGAGCCUGCGAGAGAAUGAAACAGAAUAUAGCUAUACAGUUUUUCCUAUUCUCGGUCUUUGAUUCGUGGUCCCCACUCCUGGCUACUAAGCUUUGUGUGCGUGCGUGUGUGUUUUUGUGUCACAAAGGCAAGCUCUGUUUCUGGCGUAAUGUUGCUACGUCAGAGCGUUGCUAUGGUAACCAUCAACGGUUUUUCACAUAUAACUAAAUCGUACUUUGUCCGUUACAAAAAAAAAACUUUCUAUUUCUCCAUUGGACGUCUUCGAC